UAUUUUCAUGAGGAGGCAAUUUUGGGUACUACCCAAGUAUCGACCCACCCCCCUACGACAAUUCCAUGUAUAUCGUGCAUUACUGCUAGCCACCAUGAAUAUUACAUA
rnacentral:ncRNA from 13 species